AGUCACUGACAUUAGAUACCCGCGUAGUCCAGGGUGUAAACGCUGCAGACUUGGUGUUGGAGGCCCGUUUGGGGGCAUUCAGUGCCGGAGAGAAGUUGUUAAGUCUGCUACUUGGGGAGUACGUCCGCAAGGAUGAAAACUUAAAGGAAUUGGCGGGGGAGCACCGCAACGGGAGGAGCGUGCGGUUUAAUUGGAUUCAACACCGUAAAACUCACCAGGGAAGACUGUUACAUGAAGGCCGAGAUGAAGACUCUGCUAGAUUUUCAG
rnacentral:rRNA from 1 species